UAACUGGUUAAACUUAAAGCCGAUAUUUUCUAUCGAACUAGUCUAUUUUCUGUUCAGACACAAAGUUUUCUGAUGCUGAUAUUAUGUCAGUGUGUGUUUGUGUGGGGGUCGUGUGAUGUAAUCUUUGAAAGUUUAUGACCGAACCUUUAUUGGGGAGCAACAAGAGAUCUCCCGGACUCAGUUUGGAUGGAGCAGAGCUGUUAUACUCAAGUCUAUUGGUAUGUAUGUGUUUCGCUGUGUUCGUUCCAGUAUUUUGUCUGAUUUAUUUAAAAACUAAAAAUUCGAUCUCUGGUAUUGCAGCGAAAUUGUCUAAACUGGUAUUAACUAUUCCUGGUAAAUCGCGGAGAAGAGUGGCCUGACCAAAAAAGUCAGACCGAGACUAGAACCUCCCGCAGCGUAACAAGGAAAUCUUGGAACAAAAGAGACGCCGAGUGGCUCGUGUUGUCCGGUUUGGAUAUCAGCGGCAAAGCGAACGUUGCGUGUACUAUUGCAAAAUAUAUAGCGGAUCUCCACGGUUAGGAUACAGAACACAACGCUUUGGACGUAUCUUUAAAAAAGAGAAAAAUCAGAGACUUUUUGGAUUUGUCUGGGGC